rnacentral:lncRNA from 1 species
UGGUGGAAAGGAGAGAGCGGAGGGCAAUUGCGAGCCUGAGGAGGAGCGUCCUCAAAAUCAAGCGUUUCUGAAGCCCGGGACAGAUGCUUUCUGUGUUGUUCUAAAACACGCUUGUAAGGAGGAGAAUCCUCGGUUCAGAAGAGCUGAGGAGAGGCCACAGUUGAACUCAGACACCAGGAGAGAGAGGCUUUGAAUCUGCCUGAAAGCCAUCCUAUUUUUUGCUGACAAUGUGCAGGUACAUUGCUUUUGCUGUGGACCCCAGCCUUUUGCCAGCCAUGUGUAUAUCCCACCUAGGCUCCUCAUGCCUUGCUUCUAGUGGCUUUUGAGUCUGUGCUAACAUGAGAGAUCUUCUAACAUAAUAAUUAAGAGAAUGGGUUUAGAGCCAUGCAGACCUGUGUUUAAAGACAUCUGUGCUCCACCAUUUAGCACAGAGAUUGCCACUGAUAUAAAUACUUGAUGCUUUCUCAGCAUGACUGGAAUACGGUCCAAGGAACUGAGCCUCUGCUGAGUGCAAUAAUAAGUAAGUCAUUCAGUGGAGCCCUAGCUGUUAUUGGAUGUGGAUUUUGCAAAACCACAAGUGGAACUUCAGGCAACACAUGGUCCUAAUGUUUCCCCUAGAAGGACAUGGAUAUUCCAAUGGAAUGACACGUCCAGCUUUGAAUUCCUGCCACGCAGUUAGCAGUGUCCAAAGAAUCAGUGACAACAGAGAGAAGACUGAGAUAGCAGGAAGCUAUGUGAAGAAACUCUUCCUUCAACUGUACUCUAAUGUGUUAGAAAAUUCUUGAAAAGACUUGGGAUGAGAGUUGUCUAAAUAAUCAUCAGCUCUAGUUUGGCAUCAUUAGCAAUUUGUCUGUGAACUUUGUGGACCUUAACUGAGGAAUAUAAGAGUGAAAGACGUUUGGAGCUGAAUUAUUGGAUUGCCAUUGUUUGACCUACCUGCCAUCCAUGAACCUCUCCUAUUAAGAUCUUCAGAAUGGAAAUUUAACUUCAUCAUCAUCCUGCAAUGUUUCAUUCAUGACAGUGUCACGUAUGGACAAAUGUAAGUCUCCACUUGAGUUUCUGUGAUACAGGAUCCUCUUAGCCAGCAGUGACAAAGAUGUAAGUGAAAGUAGUGGAACCUACAAAUUCAUCACUGUGCAUCAGACUAUAUUUACCAUAAGAUAUAACUGGAAAAUGCCUUCAAACUGAUGCUAGAUUUUACAGAUUGCUGCUUGCCCCAACCCAAGGGUUUUGAGCUGUGGAUCACUUACCUAGAAAAAUUCUAUCAAUCAAAGUUAAAGAUGGCAGGACACUGCAUGGCUGGGAUUGGAAGACCUCAGAGGCUUCUUGUUAAACAUAUGGGAUUUUUCAACAUGAAAAUCCACUUGUUACAAGUGUUAUAUAACUGCAUAUUAAGGCUGAGAGAUGUCCUCCUGGAGACUGGACCUGAGACUGGGUUCACAUCAGUAAAGUUAGAAAAAGCCUAAAUGCAGAAGCAUUUUUCAGAGACUUGAAACUAGAGGCCAUGUAUGGGUCAUCAGCAGGAACAGUGGAUUCUGUUCUAAAAUGUUGCUGCUUUAUAAAAACAAUGAGAACCGUGGGGAAAAAAAUGCUCAAAUCAACUUUUUAAAAACUCCAUGUGUAACUGAAAGCUUGUAAAAAUCAGAGACAACUUAGUUCAAGAAAAACUGUUGAAUCUUGGUAAGAAAAUUUUAUUUCCAUUCCCUCAUCCCAGCUCUGAAAUAACCUUGACAAACCAUUGGCUUUUCAAUUAUGGUGAAAAACAGCAGCCUAGCAGCCACCGGAGGUAAUAUAACAAGUUAGAGCUCCCUAAAAGCAUCAUUUUCAGAGAAUUGUCGUUACUUAACCUGUCUGGCAUUUACCUGGAAAUCUUCAUCCUAAGGCUUGUCUUUAUUUGACCUAAUUCAGAGCUUAGUCACUACAAACAUCUUCUGUCUGAGUGUAUUUGUCAACAACAACAACAAAAGUAGCAGUCUCCUUAAUAUUGCAACUUCCCGUGGCAGUGAUAACAAUUAGGGUUAACAAAAACUUCCUAAAAGAUGUAAAAGGAAAAUACUGAGAUUGAGAUGUCCAUGGAGAGCUUUGGAAAGCUCUAAUAUAUUUCAGGGAAUCAAGAAGGCCACACAGGUGUCAAGGACUGUGCCCAUGUCCAAGGCUGUUUAUAUUCCCAGGAAAGAAGUAAGCAUAUCCUAAACUCUCACUUCUCAUUGACCUUGAGGCUCUAGGCAAGCAGAAAGUGAAGACUGAAACAGAAGUGUAGACUACCUGUCUGAGCAUUGCACGUGUGCCAUAGGACACACACAGUCCCACAACAAAGAAUGGAGAAUUUAUUGGUGCCAGUUAUUUAAGGGCAAAGUUGAUGAAUUGGACUUUAUUGAAAUGAAAUCUUCUGUUCUCAAGACACUGGAAAAUAAGCUAGAGACUGGAAGAAAAUAUUUGCAGAUCACACAUAUGAGAAAGAACAUGUAUCUAGAAUAUAUAAAAACACUCAAAACUCAAUAAGAAAGAAGCCCACUCAAUAAUAAAUGAAUGAAAUUUUUGAACACUUUACCAAAGAAGACUUAUGGAUGGCAAGUAGGCAGUUGAGGAAUGAAUAAACAAGCUGUUGUGCAUCCAUAUAGUGGCAUACUUCUAAGCAACAAAAAGAAAUGUACUAUUAUUAUUACAUGUGAUGGCAUGAGUAAAUCUCAAGUGUGUUGCUCUGUGUGAAGAGUCUGAUUUUAUAUAUUGUAGAAUUUCAUUUAAAAGACGUUCUU